rnacentral:rRNA from 1 species
AUUGAACGCUGGCGGCAUGCUUUACACAUGCAAGUCGAACGGUAACAGGCCUUCGGGUGCUGACGAGAGGCGAACGGGGGAGUAUUGCAUCGGAACGUACCCCGAGGUGGGGGGUAACGCAGCGAAAGCUGUGCUAUUACCGCAUGUGAGCUGAGGAUGAAAGCGGGGGGCCGAGCCGCAAUGUUUGCCCUCGCGCCUUUGGAGCGGGCGAUGUCGGCUUAGCUGGUUGGGGGGGUACAGGCCCAACAAGGCGACGCUCCGUAGAGAGUCUGAGAGGAUGAGCAGUCAACAGGGAAAGGAGAUACGGGCCAGCCUCCUACGGGAGGCAGCAGGGGGGAUUAUUGGACAAUGGGGGACAGCCUGAUCCAGACCUGCGGCGUGUGUGAAGAAGGUCUUCGGAUUGUAAAGCACUUUAAUGUGGGAGGAAGGGAAGUAAGUGAAUACCUUGCUGUUUUGACGCUACCAAGAGAAUAAGCACCGGCUAACUUCGU